rnacentral:lncRNA from 1 species
GGAAGACAGAAUGUGAACAUGUGCAAGCCAAAAUGAUUUGAUGUAGUCACUUUAAUGGAAAAUUUUGAGCAAUACAUUUGCAUAACAUGCUGGGUUUUAUAGUGGGGAAAGAGUCAUUUGCUUAUCUUGAAAAGAAAAUAAGUUUAGUACUUUACCCAGAUUCAGAGGAUCACUUCUGAAUGAGAAAAAUUAUGAGAUGAAAAAAGGAAAUAAAGUUUUAAUACUACAAGUCUAUUAGAGUAUGUGCUUAUGAAGACGAUUUUAGUCAAUGCACAAAGUUUUGCUUUAAAAUCAUCAGGGCGUUGCUUUGUACUUAAUUGUUCAAGGGCCAAUAUAAUUCUUUCAAAUAUUUUGUUAUUUAAAUAAGCAUAGCAUAUAUGGUAGCUAAAACUACCUGCUCUCCUAAAUCUGCGUGUUGUGGACUAUAUUAAGAAAUGUCAUUUUGAUGAAUCUUUCCUACACAUGAACAAAUUAAAUGAAGUUAUUUAAAAUGCAUAGUAGUUUAACUGAGUACAUGCAGCAGAAAGACUAGCGAUGAUAUAAAUGUUAAGCAGGAGGAACAAAAUACUAAAUCCUCUAAAUAGACCUUGAAAAAGAAGACUUUUUGAACUUCAAGAAACAGCACCUACAAUUUUCUAUUCAAAAUUGCAAAGGGUAUUUGUGGUCUUUUUAAAAUUUGUAAGUGACAAAGUAGCUAUACCUCCAAGUUACAGAACACUGAGAGUGGUAAAGUAUCUCAGAACUGAAAAGGUAGAACCCAAGUACCUGUAAAGAAGAUGAUAAUGGAAAGCAAACAUCAUUCUGCAGAAUUCCAGAAAGGCUUUUGAAUUGAAGUAACUGGUACAAUUUCUGCAGAAAGAGGAGGUGGAAAUUGGCACAUUGAAAGUUUCUAUGACAAAGAGACCUUUAACUUCCUAUCUCC